UACGAAGGGUGCAAGCGUUACUCGGAAUUACUGGGCGUAAAGCGUGCGUAGGUGGUUUGUUAAGUCUGAUGUGAAAGUCCUGGGCUCAACCUGGGAAUUGCAUUGGAUACUGGCAGGCUAGAGUGCGGUAGAGGGUAGUGGAAUUCCCGGUGUAGCAGUGAAAUGCGUAGAGAUCGGGAGGAACACCAGUGGCGAAGGCGACUACCUGGACCAGCACUGACACUGAGGCACGAAAGCGUGGGGAGCAAACCGG
rnacentral:rRNA from 1 species